CUCGCGGGCAGCUGGGCAUGAGGAGAGCUGAGGGGCUUAGGCCAGGCUCCAGGUCAUUCGUUCGUCCUUUCACUCAUUCAUUCCUUGAGCUGACUCAGGAAUUGAGAUGGGUAGUCUGCGGAUCCUAGAAUCAGUCUGGAGACGGUGAUGACAUUGCCAAGUGGAAUUGCCGUAAGCCUUGACUAGCAAGAAGCAGCUUACCUUGUGGAACCUCGGGCCUUUCUUCUGACCACUGUAGGGAUUAAGAGGACAAGAGGUGACCCAGAAGUCACUAUCAAGACCUGAAUAGACUGGUUUCCAAUGAGAACGCUGCUCCUUCCACAAGCCCACCUCCUCGGAGCUGCAGGCGUUUUUCAGGCCUCAUCUAGCCUCCUCA